UACAUACUCCCUCCAUCCGGAAAUACUUGUCAUCAAAAUAGAAGGGGAUGUAUCUAGACGUAUUUUAGUUCUAGAUACAUCUCUUUUUAUCCAUUUUGAUGACAAUUAUUUUCGGAUGGAGGGAGUAUGUU
rnacentral:pre_miRNA from 1 species